rnacentral:rRNA from 1 species
AUUGAACGCUGGCGGCAGGCCUAACACAUGCGAGUCGAGCGGAUGAAGGGAGCUUGCUCCUGGAUUCAGCGGCGGACGGGUGAGUAAUGCCUAGGAAUCUGCCUGGUAGUGGGGGAUAACGUCCGGAAACGGGCGCUAAUACCGCAUACGUCCUGAGGGAGAAAGUGGGGGAUCUUCGGACCUCACGCUAUCAGAUGAGCCUAGGUCGGAUUAGCUAGUUGGUGGGGUAAAGGCCUACCAAGGCGACGAUCCGUAACUGGUCUGAGAGGAUGAUCAGUCACACUGGAACUGAGACACGGUCCAGACUCCUACGGGAGGCAGCAGUGGGGAAUAUUGGACAAUGGGCGAAAGCCUGAUCCAGCCAUGCCGCGUGUGUGAAGAAGGUCUUCGGAUUGUAAAGCACUUUAAGUUGGGAGGAGGGGCAGUAAGUUAAUACCUUGCUGUUUUGACGUUACCAACAGAAUAAGCACCGGCUAACUUCGUG